rnacentral:rRNA from 1 species
GACGAACGCUGGCGGCAUGCCUAAUACAUGCAAGUCGAGCGAACAGAUGAAGUGCUUGCACUUCUGACGUUAGCGGCGAACGGGUGAGUAACACGUAAGGAAUCUACCUAUAAGCGGGGGAUAACAUUCGGAAACGGGUGCUAAUACCGCAUAAUAUUUUCUUCCGCAUGGAAGAAGAUUGAAAGACGGCUCUGCUGUCACCUAUAGAUGACCUUGCGGUGCAUUAGUUAGUUGGUGGGGUAACGGCCUACCAAGACGAUGAUGCAUAGCCGACCUGAGAGGGUGAUCGGCCACAUUGGGCCUGAGACACGGCCCAAACUCCUACGGGAGGCAGCAGUAGGGAAUCUUCCGCAAUGGGCGAAAGCCUGACGGAGCAAUGCCGCGUGAGUGAAGAAGGCCUUUGGGUCGUAAAACUCUGUUAUAAGAGAAGAACAAAUUGUAGAGUAACUGCUACAGCCUUGACGGUAUCUUAUCAGAAAGCCACGGCUAACUACGUGCCAGCAGCCGCCGUAA